ACCAUCAUAAAGACCAGAUUGGUUGAGCCUAGGCCUUGGUCGAAAGGUGGGUACAGUGACUUGAAGAACAUUGAUCGUUCAGCUAAACGGCAAAAAACAGGGAGCAUAUAAACACCCACAUCAGAUUCAAGCUUCUGUGAAAAAGCUGCAGCGAUAGAGGACACAACAAGAGGGAAAGUUCCGCCAACAAAACUCAACUACAAGGAACUUGCAGAGCCAAGUCCACUCCUGUUUCCUGAUUAAGAGGUGAUAACCACUACCAUUCUCAACUAUCUCCUGACAUGAACUGAAGCCACGUCUCAUGUGCCCACUCAUCCACCGGCACAUUGAAUGUUUCCUCCCCGAGCAUUUCAAAUCCUGUCCUGCAUUGGUCAAGCCUCUGAACACCUCAACUCAUGCCUCAUACCCUCAUUCAAUCACUGCUGUGAUCCCUUUCCAACACGGUGAAACACAAAAGGAGGCUGAGGAGGAGGAGGAUGAUAAUAAUUCCUGGGGAAGCUAGACCAGCACAACAGGCUCCCUGGAGACCAAACAGAUGUUUACAUUUGAGCUGCAUCAAAGACACAUCACAAAACAUGCCAAUGAUGCCAGCGAGCCCCGGGAAGGAGGGGCUGCCUAACUUGUCACAAAAACAUCGUCUCAGGUUUGCUGCUUGAUGCUGCUAAAUUCAUUAAUGAGCGAGAAUUUGAGAGAAGACAAGUGGAGACCAAACAGAUGUUUACAUUUGAGCUGCAUCAAAGACACAUCACAAAACAUGCCAAUGAUGCCAGCGAGCCCCGGGAAGGAGGGGCUGCCUAACUUGUCACAAAAACAUCGUCUCAGGUUUGCUGCUUGAUGCUGCUAAAUUCAUUAAUGAGCGAGAAUUUGAGAGAAGACAAGACAAGCACUUCCUCAAACAAGGUUUUGAGAUGGAAGCGAAGUGACUAUGUGAGCUUUUGUGGUUCAUCUAAAUUAACCUGUGAAGAAAUGAGACACUCUAGACACAUGGAGUAUUGGUGAGAUUAAAGGUGCUACACAUAAGAUGUUAUUUUUAUUUUUACAUUGUAAUUUUCAGAAAAUGUCUAUAAUAUAUCUGCAGUAAAAGUGGAACGAUAGUUUUUCACAGAAUUAACUACUAAGGGUGUGCCGAUCUCAUCAUACUCGUAUUCGUAAUCAUCCGUUUUCAAAUCAAAUCAAAAUGUAUUAGUCACAUGCACCGAAUACAACAGGUGUAGACCUUACAGUGAAAUGCUUAUUUACAAGCCCUUAACCAACGAUGCAGUUUUAAAAAAAAUACAUGAUUAAGAAUAAGAAAUAAAAGUAACAACUAAUUAAAGAGCAGCAAUAAAAUAACAGUAGCGAGGCUAUAUACAGGGGGUACCAGUACAGAGUCAAUGUGCGGGGACAUCGGUUAGUCGAGUUAACUGGGGUAAUAUGUACAUGUAGGUAGCGUUAUUAAAGGGAUUAUGCAUAGAUGAUAACAACAGAGAGUGUCGGUGGUGUAAGGGGGGGGGGGUGCAAUGCCAAUAGUCUGGGUAGCUAUUUGAUUAGAUGUUCAGGAGUCUUAUGGCUUGGGGGUAGAAGCUGUUUCGAAGCCUCUUAGGCCUAGACUUGACGCUCCUAUACCGCUUGCGGUGCGGUAGCAGAUAGAAUAGUCUAUUACUAGUAUGAAAUCAUUGUACCAAAAUGUUGUUUUUACAUCUGUUUGAAACUUGACCAAAACCGAAAGUAAAAGGCUCAAGCAUGAGUCUCCGACACCUUACGGGGAAAUUGAUUGCGGGUGAGGGGGGAGAUUUGUUUCGAAUGCAGCCUAGUGCUGUUGCAAUUCACCUAGCUUUAUAGGGGAGAAAUUCUGAAAAAUUAUAUUCAUAUGAAAGAGAGAAAAUCUGCUGUACAAGUAGGCCUACAUGGUAUAUAUUAUUGUUUAAUAAGAAAAUACAUCAUUGCUUAAAUCAGGCACGCUUUCAGGAGUUAAAACUCAUUUUAACACAACACAAGAGAACAUGUUUUUACAGUACUGUGUUCCAGUAUAAUGCAUUGCCAGAGAAAGAUCUACAGUAUAAGCUCUUGGCUCUGAGCGGCGAUGAUAACACACAAACAUUUCUUCGCAUUAGGGUUAUAAAAAUCUGCAUAUUGAGUAUCAGUGUUGAAAUAGCAUCCAGUCAGAACAAGGAGCCAGGAUUAGACAUGGGGCAUUUUUUCUCAUCUUCCUUUUCUUCACACCUAGCCCCCCCUCCGCUCCGCUCACUCACACACUACCCAAUGCAAAUGAGCAUGAUACCCAUGAAAUUAAAAUGCAGUUCCCCAGAGAUAGCCACACAGAUUAUGGCAUACUGCGGGAAUUUGGAGAUAUUUAUGUCAUGGUGAGUCAAAUUAAUUUCACGAUAGGCCGAGACUUAAAACGAUGUCAUACCUCCAUGUCUGGCAUGUACAUUGUGUGUCCAUUAAUUAGGUUUGCUGUUGGAGGGGUAAUAAAUCACAACUCCAGUCACUUCCUUCUGUAAUGACACCCCAGCCGCACCGCAAGCUGCAUCAGCAAAGCACUCUGUCUCACAACGUGCAGUGGUGUACAGUAACUAAGUCAAAAUACUUUGAAGUACUGCUUAUGUCAUUACUUGGGGUAUCUGUACUUUACUUGAGUAUUUACACUACUGUUCAAAAGUUUGGGGUCACUUAGAAAUGUCCUUGUUUUUGAAAGAAAAGCACUCUUCUAGGCAUAAUUCCUCUAUCCAGUGUCUGUAUUAUUUUGCCCAUUUUAAUUUGCCCUUUUAUUUCUAUUGGCCAGUCUGAGAUAUGGCUUUUUCUUUGCAACUCUGCCUAGAAGACCAGCAUCCCGUAGUCGCCUCUUCACUGUUGAUGUUGAGACUGGUAUUUUGCGGGUACUAUUUAAUGAAGCUGCCAGUUGAGGACUUGUGAGGCAUCUGUUUCUCUAACUAGACACUCUAAUAUACUUGUCCUCUUGCUCAGUUGUGCACCGGGGUCUCCCACUCCUCUUUUUAUUCUGGUUUUCAGUUUUCAGCUGUGCUAACACAAUUGCAAAAGUGUUUUCUAAUUAUCAAUUAGCCUUUUAAAAUGAUAAACUUGGAUUAGCUAACACAACGUGACAUUGGAACACAGGAGUGAUGGUUGCUGGUAAUGGGCCUCUGUACGCCUAUGUAGAUAUUCCAUACAAAAAUCAGCUGUUUCCAGCUACAAUAGUCAUUUACAACAUUAACAAUGUCUACACUGUAUUUCUGAUCAAUUUGAUGUUAUUUUAAUGGACAAAAAAUGUGCUUUUCUUUCAAAAACAAGGACAUUUCAAAGUAACCCCAAACUUUUGAACGGUAGUGUAUUUCUUUUUUACAACUUUUACGUUUACUUCACCAUACCUCUAAAGAAAAUAUGUACUUUUUACUUCCUCACACCACUUAGAAACAAGGAGCUGAGAGUCUCUGCCUACAUGAUGAUUACCUGCUUUGCUCCUGAUUCUGUGAACGAGUGGUACGAAACACAAAUUCCCUUGUAACCCGUCUCUCCGAGCUAGGGUUCAAGAUCAAUCAGAAAAAGAGCUGUUUGGUGCCAAAAGAGAGAAUAGAAUACCUAGGCGUGAGGCUGACAGGCAGCACUCUCAGAGACUGCACCACUUCGUUCCGACAGUGCCGCUCCUUGUUCCACAGGGGGCGCUCAUCACGUUCAAGACGUGCCUCCGAGUGCCGGGGUUGAUGGGGUCCACCAUCUCAGUAGUCAAAUCAAAUUAAAAUGUAUUUGUCACAUGCUUCGUUUACACGACUUCCACCGUAGUCGGUUCCUCUCCUUGUUCGGGCGACGUUCGGAGGUCAGCGGUCUUCUAGCCAUCGUUGAUCCGCUUUUCAUUUUCCAUUUGUUUUGUCUUGUUUUCCUACACACCUGGUUCUCAUUUCCCUCAUUAAGUGUUGUGUAUUUAGCCCUCUGUUCCCCCCAUGUCUUUGUGUGGAAUUGUUUGUUGUAAGUGCUUGUGCACAUGUUUACUGGUGCGCGUCGGGUUUUGUACCCAUGUUGGUUAAUUUUUUACGCUAUUGGUUUUAGAAAUAAACUGCUCCGGCUAUUACCUAGUUCUGCUCUCCUGCGUCUGACUGCACUGCCACCAGUUACACACCCCAUUGCAAAAUUACGCACCAGCAGGUACCCCGGAUACAGGAGUUGAGGAGCUCGUCAGAGAACACGCGGCGAUGCUACAACAUCUCGGCGUCGCGAUGGACUGCGUCGUCCAGACCAUGGACCGCUGGGAGAGACAGGGAGCUCCUCCAGUGCUUUCACCAGCACAACAGGGGUUCCCAAUACUCGUCCCUCCUUUACCCGGUCCCAGUGGGAUGCGUCUCGCCCUUCCCGGGGAGUAUGAUGGGACGGCGGCACAGUGCUAGUGGUUCCUGCUACAGCUGGACCUAUACCUGGGCACCGUUUAUCUGGCUCCCUCGGAAAGGGAGAGAGUGUCCGCACUUGUCUCGUGCCACUCAGGGAGAGCUCUGGAGUGGGCUAACGCCGUGUGGGGAGAAGGAUAUGCGGCGUUGGACGACUUCACGCAGUCUUCGACCACCGCCAGAGGGUAGAGCGGCAGGUGAACGUCUUUUCCACCUGAGGCAGGGGACGAGGUGCCGGGUUGGUUACUCUAGGGGUCGAGGCAGCAGGCAGGGCACUCUGACGUCUCCCCAGGUGAGCAUGCACCACUCCCAUCCAGAGCCCUCUGUUGUACACCUGUUUGGGCAUGUUUACUUUCCUGAGUUUUCCCCGCAUUCCCAGCAUAAGGCGCUCGUCAAUUCAGGCGCGGCUGGGAAUUUUAUCAACAGAGCAUUCGCCCAUAGGUUAGGGAUCCCUACUCUUCCAGUUGUUACGCCUUUCCCAGUUCACGCAGAGGACAGUCGACCAUUAGGGUCCAGGGUGAUUAGGGAAGCUACCAUCCCCCUGGGCAUGGUUACGCAGCGGGGUCACGAGGAGAGAAUCAGUCUCUUCCUCAUUGACUCUCCUGCGUUUCCCAUGGUAUUAGGCCUUCCCUGGUUAGCUCGUCAUGACCCCACCAUUUCAUGACAACAGAGGGCUUUCACGGGGUGGUUGCGAGAGUGCUCAAGGAGGUGUUUAGGGGUUUCCGUUGGUGCUACUACGGUUGAAAGUCCACACCAGGUCUCCACCAUGCGCAUUUCCCCCGAAUAUGCCGAUUUGGCUCUAGCCUUCUCCAAAAAGAAGGCGACUGAAUUACCACCCCAUCAACUGGGGGAUUGUGCGAUAAAUCUCCUGGUAGAUGCUGCACUUCCCAGGAGUCAUGUGUAUCCCAUGUCACAGGCGGAGAUGGCGGCUAUGGAAACAUAUAUCUCCGAGUCCCUGCGUCAGGGGUACAUUCGGUCCUCCACUUCACCCGCCUCCUCGAGUUUAUUUUUUGUGAAGAAGAAGGAGGGAGGUCUGCGCCCGUGUAUUGACUAUAGAGGUCUCAUUCAAAUCACGGUAAGGUACAGUUACCUGCUACCUUUUAUCGCCACGGCGAUUGAAUCAACGCACGGGGCAUGCUUCUUCACCAAACUAGAUCUCAGGAGCACUUACAACCUGGUGCGUAUCCGGGAGGGAGACGAGUGGAAGACGGCGUUCAGUACGACCUCAGGGCAUUAUGAGUACCUCGUCAUGCCGUACGGGUUGAUGAAUGCUCCAUCAGUCUUCCAAGCCUUUGUAGACGAGAUUUUCAGGGACCUCCACGGACAGGGUGUAGUGGUGUAUAUUGAUGACGUUCUGAUAUACUCUGCUACACGCGCUGAGCAUGUGUCCCUGGUGCGCAGGGUGCUUGGUCGACUGUUGGAGCAUGAUCUGUACGUCAAGGCUGAAAAAUGCCUGUUCUUUCAACAGUCCGUCUCCUUCCUAGGGUAUCGCAUUUCCACCUCAGGGGUGGAGAUGAAGAGUGACCGCAUUUCAUUGUGCGUAAUUGGCCGACUCCCACCAUGGUAAAGGAGGUGCAGCGGUUUCUAGGAUUUGCCAAUUACUACCAGAGGUUUCUCCUGGGUUUUUGUCAGGUAGCGGCUCCCAUUACCUCACUGCUGAAGGGGGGACCGGUACGUUUGCAGUGGUCGGCUGAGGCGGACAGGGCUUUUGGUCACCUGAGGGCUCUGUUUACCUCGGCUCUCGUGCUGGCCCAUCCGGAUCCCUCUUUGGUGUUCAUAGUGGAGGUGGACACGUCUGAGGCUGGGAUAGGAGCCGUGCUCUCUCAGUGGUCGGGUAUGCCACCGAAGCUCCGGCCCUGUGCCUUCUUCUCGAGGAGCGAAAAUAUGACGUGGGGGACCAGGAGCUGUGGGCUGUCGUCAAGGCUCUGAAGGCGUGAAGACAUUGGCUCGAGGGGGCUAAACACCCCUUUCUCAUCUGGACUGACCACCGCAAUCUGGAGUACAUCCGGGCAGAGAGGAGACUGAACCCUCAUCAGGCAAGGUGGGCCAUGUUUUUCACCCGUUUUGUUUUCUCAAUUUCUUACAGACCAGGCUGUAUGACACGGAGGAGCGGCCCAUGGAUCCCACCCCCAUACUCCCGGCCUCCUGCCUGCUGGCACCGGUAGUAUGGGAGCUGGACGUGGACAUUGAGCAGGUGUUACGUGCAGAGCUCGCUCCCCUCCUGUGUCCCGCUGGGCGUCUGUACGUUCCGUCUGUUGUCCGUGAUCGGCUGAUCUGUUGGGCCCACACGUCACCUUCCUCUGGUCAUCCAGGCAUCAGUCGGACGGUGCGCUGUCUGAGUGGGAAGUACUGGUGGCCCACUUUGGCCAAGGACGUGAGGGUUUAUGUUUCCUCUUGCUCGGUGUACACUCAGUGUAAGGGUCCUAGGCACCUGCCGAAAGGUAAGCUACACCCAUUACCCGUUUCACAACGGCCAUGGUCGCACCUGUCGAUCGAUUUCCAGGGUCACAGGGAAACACCACGAUCCUGGUUGUUGUGGAUCAUUUCUCUAAGUCCUGCCGUCUCCUUCCUCUGCCCGGUCUCCCUACGGCCCUACAGAAUGAGGAGGCCUUGUUUAUUCACCUCUUCCGGCACUACGGCGUGCCUGAGGAUAUAGUGUCUGAUCGGGAUCCCCAGUUCACUUCGAGCGCCUGGAGGGCGUUCAUGGAACGUCUGGGCGUCUCGAUCAGCCUUACCUCAGGUUUUCGUCCCGAGAGUAACGGGCAGGUGGAGAGAGUUAACCAGGAUGUGGGUAGGUCUGAGGUCUUAUUGCCAGGACCGGCCGGGGGAGUGGGCAGCGUUUGUGCCCUGGGCAGAGAUGGCCCAGAACUCGCUCCGCCACUCCUCCACUAUCCUCUCCCCCUUCCAGUGCGUACUGGGGUAUCAGCCGGUUGUGGGUCCUUGGCAUCAGAGUCAGACCGAGGCUCCUGCGGUGGACGACUGGUUCCGGCACGCAGAGUAGACAUAGGACGACGCUCAUGUUCAACUUCAGCGCGUCGUGCUGCACCAGAAAGCCAGUGCAGACCGUCACCGCAGUGAGACCGGGUCUGGCUCUCAACCCGAAACCUGCCCCUCUGCCUGCCCUGCCGGAAGCUGGGUCCGCGGUUUGUGGGGCCAUUUAAAGUCCUGAGGAGACUGAACGAGGUAAGUUACAGGUUACAGCUUCCCCCCGAUUACCGUAUUAACCCCUUGUUCCAUGUGUCUCUCCUCAGGCCGGUGGUGGCUGGCCCGCUCCAGGAGUCUGAGGUGUGGGAGGUUCCUCCGCCCCCCUCUGGACAUCGAGGGGGCCCCGGCAUACUCCGUUCGAUCCAUACUGGAUUCGAGGCGUCGGGCGAGGGGGCUUCAGUACCUCAUGGACUAGGAGGGGUGCGGUCUGGAGGAGAGAUGCAGGGUUCCGGUGGAGGACGUGUUGGACCCUUCAAUGCUGCGGGAGUUUCACCGUCUCCGUCUGGAUCGCCCUGCACCUCGUCCUCCAGGCCGGUGUCGGCUCGCUGCUGGAGCCGGGUGUCAAGGGGGGGGGUACUGUCACGACUUCCACCGAAAUCGGUUCCCCUCCUUGUUCGGGCGGCGGUCGGUGUCAACGGUCUUCUAGCCAUCGUCAAUCUACUUUUAAUUUUCCAUUUGUUUUGUCUUGUUGUCCUACACACCUGGUUCUCAUUUCCCUCAUUAAGUGUUGUGUAUUUAGCCCUCUGUUCCCCCCAUGUCUUUGUGUGGAAUUGUGUGGAAUUGUUUGUUGUAAGUGCUUGUGCACAUGUUUACUGUGCGCGUCGGGUUUUGUACCCAUGCUGGUUAAUUCUUUAUGCUGUUGGUUUUGAAAUUAAACUGCUCCGGCUAUUACCUA